CCCAUCUCUGCUCUGCCAGCUGCAGCUUGUGUCAUCAGAGCCGGAAGGAUCCCUGGAGAGAAGGUGCAGCCCAAGUGCCUCCUAUUACAGACGGGAGCCUGGACUCAGAGCUACUGAGCAAGUGAGUGAUGGAAGCAAGAGUUCAAGGAGCAAGGCUGAGCUAAGUUACCUAUUCCAGUGGGACUGGAAAAAGAAUGCGUGCUGAGCCAGCAUCUAUACGCACCUGCCACCCCAGUGGUCACCGUGCAUAGUUAAUCACUUACUCCUUUAAGAUCUGAAUGCAGACCCUCAAAGAAAUAAUAUGUCAACGAGAUACCAACAUCAUCAUCACCAUCACUUCAACAAUUUUGCGUUGAAGAAGUGUGUUCCUGGGAGACCCUGAUUUGUAUAGAUGGCAGCCCCUUGCAUGCGUGUGAGGCUGCACGGUCACUAGAGUGUCUCCAGGAGGAAGAGGGUGGUGAACAGGGACCAUGAAGACUGAUUCAGAAACUCUCCAAGAGGAGCAGGUGAUGUCUGAGCCAUCCCUGUGCCACCAGCAAGAAUCGCCUCAGCUCCUGGAAAAACCAUUAGGAGCUGCCUCCAAUUAAAGUCCUUAGUUGCAUCGU
rnacentral:lncRNA from 1 species